AGCUAAUAGAUACCCUGGUAGUCCUGGCCCUAAACGAUGUCUACUAGAUCGUGGCGGCACUGACGCCGUCAUGGUCGAAGCAAAAGUGUUAAGUAGACCGCCUGGGAAGUACGGUCGCAAGGCUAAAACUCAAAGAAAUUGACGGGGGCUCACACAAGCGGUGGAGCAUGUGGUUCAAUUCGAAGCAACGCGAAGAACCUUACCUGGGCUUGACAUGCUAGGAUUAUCUUGAUGAAAGUCGAGUAGGCCCCGCAAGGGGUACAACUAGUACAGGUGCUGCAUGGCUGUCGUCAGCUCGUGUCGUGAGAUGUCGGGUUAAGUCCCUUAACGAGCGAAACCUUUGCCCUUAGUUGCCAUCGGGUUAUGCCGGGCACUCUAAGGGGACUGCCGGUGUCAAACCGGAGGAAGGUGGAGAUGACGUCAAGUCCUCAUGGCCUUUAUGCCCAGGGCUACACACGUGCUACAAUGGCGUCCACAAAGCGAGCCGAGAGCGCAAGCUGGAGGAAAUCGCAGAAAUGACG
rnacentral:rRNA from 1 species